GACUCUCGGCAACGGAUAUCUCAGCUCUCGCAUCGAUGAAGAAUGUAGCAAAAUGCGAUACUUGGUGUGAAUCGAAACAAGAGACGUUUCGAUCGAGAUUUGAAGGAGAACACAAAGCUGGAGGAAAGGGCG
rnacentral:rRNA from 1 species